CAUUAAGAAGCUAGUUAGCAUUAACCUUUUAAGUUAAAGAACGGGAAACCAAAUUCCCCUUAAUGA
rnacentral:tRNA from 1 species